rnacentral:rRNA from 1 species
GGCGAACGCUGGCGGCGUGCUUAACACAUGCAAGUCGAACGGAAAGGCCCUGCUUUUGUGGGGUGCUCGAGUGGCGAACGGGUGAGUAACACGUGAGUAACCUGCCCUUGACUUUGGGAUAACUUCAGGAAACUGGGGCUAAUACCGGAUAGGAGCUCCUGCUGCAUGGUGGGGGUUGGAAAGUUUCGGCGGUUGGGGAUGGACUCGCGGCUUAUCAGCUUGUUGGUGGGGUAGUGGCUUACCAAGGCUUUGACGGGUAGCCGGCCUGAGAGGGUGACCGGCCAAAUUGGGACUGAGAUACGGCCCAGACUCCUACGGGAGGCAGCAGUGGGGAAUAUUGAACAAUGGGCGGAAGCCUGAUGCAGCAACGCCGCGUGCGGGAUGACGGCCUUCGGGUUGUAAACCGCUUUCGCCUGUGACGAAGCGUGAGUGACGGUAAUGGGUAAAGAAGCACCGGCUAACUACGUG